AGCGAACGCUGGCGGCAGGCCUAACACAUGCAAGUCGAACGAACUCUUCGGAGUUAGUGGCGGACGGGUGAGUAACACGUGGGAACGUGCCGUUAGGUUCGGAAUAACUCAGGGAAACUUGUGCUAAUACCGAAUGUGCCCUUCGGGGGAAAGAUUUAUCGCCUUUAGAGCGGCCCGCGUCUGAUUAGCUAGUUGGUGAGGUAAAGGCUCACCAAGGCGACGAUCAGUAGCUGGUCUGAGAGGAUGAUCAGCCACAUUGGGACUGAGACACGGCCCAAACUCCUACGGGAGGCAGCAGUGGGGAAUCUUGCGCAAUGGGCGAAAGCCUGACGCAGCCAUGCCGCGUGAAUGAUGAAGGUCUUAGGAUUGUAAAAUUCUUUCACCGGGGACGAUAAUGACGGUACCCGGAGAAGAAGCCCCGGCUAACUUCGUG
rnacentral:rRNA from 1 species